rnacentral:rRNA from 1 species
AUUGAACGCUGGCGGCAUGCUUUACACAUGCAAGUCGGACGGCAGCACAGAGAAGCUUGCUUCUUGGGUGGCGAGUGGCGAACGGGUGAGUAAUAUAUCGGAACGUACCGAGUAAUGGGGGAUAACUAAUCGAAAGAUUAGCUAAUACCGCAUAUUCUCUGAGGAGGAAAGCAGGGGACCUUCGGGCCUUGCGUUAUUCGAGCGGCCGAUAUCUGAUUAGCUAGUUGGUGGGGUAAAGGCCUACCAAGGCGACGAUCAGUAGCGGGUCUGAGAGGAUGAUCCGCCACACUGGGACUGAGACACGGCCCAGACUCCUACGGGAGGCAGCAGUGGGGAAUUUUGGACAAUGGGCGCAAGCCUGAUCCAGCCAUGCCGCGUGUCUGAAGAAGGCCUUCGGGUUGUAAAGGACUUUUGUCAGGGAAGAAAAGGCUGUUGCUAAUACCGACAGCUGAUGACGGUACCUGAAGAAUAAGCACCGGCUAACUACGUGCCAGCAGCCGCGGUAAUACGUAGGGUGCGAGCGUUAAUCGGAAUUACUGGGCGUAAAGCGAGCGCAGACGGUUACUUAAGCAGGAUGUGAAAUCCCCGGGCUCAACCUGGGAACUGCGUUCUGAACUGGGUGACUAGAGUGUGUCAGAGGGAGGUAGAAUUCCACGUGUAGCAGUGAAAUGCGUAGAGAUGUGGAGGAAUACCGAUGGCGAAGGCAGCCUCCUGGGAUAACACUGACGUUCAUGCUCGAAAGCGUGGGUAGCAAACAG